GGGUUAAUGUAGAAGUUAAAAGGGGAGGGGGAUAGGAUGCAACCCUGCCAUACCCCUUUUUGUACCCUUACUGGGCUGGUUAAAAGGUCCACAGUUAAAAUCAG